UCCUAGCCCCGAUAGAAGCGGUUACCCCACUGCAGGCGCUGGAGAAUAUAAGGGUUAGACGUGGAGCGCAAGGCCGCGAGGAGUAUGAGCGGAUAGCGGGAAAUAGC
rnacentral:misc_RNA from 1 species